rnacentral:lncRNA from 1 species
AUCUUAUAGAUUGAGUACAUGAAGCAAGAUACAAAUCACUCCAUUUAUAUAAAUGUAAAAAAAAAAAAAAAAAAAAAAAAAAAAAAAAAACCUAGGCAGCAUAGCCAAACACUGUCUGUACAAAAAUGUAAAAUAAAAUUAGUUAGGUAUGGUAGAGCAUGAGUCCUAGCUACUCAGGAGGCUGAGGUGUGUGGAUCACUUGAACCAGGCUGCAGUGAGUCAUGACAUGACAGAGGGAGACCCUGUCUACUGUCUGUCCCUAUAGAAAAAGAAAAAAUCUCCUGGUAUCUUUUCCUGAAUUUGGCAGACAGGAUGGCCCAAGGAAAUGCAUCAGUGCAGAGGGACAGAAACAGCAGUGUGGCCUGGGAAAGGUCAGGCUUUGACACAAGGAAUUUAGAGAAGAAAAAAGGUGUGGUCUGCUGUUUCAUUCAAUCCAUUAUCUGUUGAGCAUUCCUUUUUUUAUUCAAAUGAAGCAGAAGAAAGGAGCUUGAAAUGGACAGUUAUCUCUGGUUUAUCUGGCUGCAGAGUGCAGAGAUGAUUCUCUUUCAGGAUGGGAGAGGGGGUGGGGAGG